AAAAAAGGUAAGCUACUAAGAGCGAAUGGUGGAUGCCUUGACUGGUAAAGGCGAUGAAGGACGUACUAGACUGCGAUAAGCUACGGGGAGCUGUCAAGAAGCUUUGAUCCGUAGAUUUCCGAAUGGGGCAACCCAAUGUAUAGAGAUAUACAUUACCUAUAUAGGAGCGAACGAGGGGAAUUGAAACAUCUUAGUACCCUCAGGAAAAGAAAUCAAUAGAGAUUGCGUCAGUAGCGGCGAGCGAAAGCGCAAGAGGGCAAACCCAGUGCUUGCACUGGGGGUUGUAGGACUGCAAUGUGCAAGAGGUGAGUUUAGCAGAACAUUCUGGAAAGUAUAGCCAUAGAGGGUGAUAGUCCCGUAUGCGAAAAACAAACCUUAGCUAGCAGUAUCCUGAGUAGGGCGGGACACGAGAAAUCCUGUCUGAAGCUGGGUCGACCACGAUCCAACCCUAAAUACUAAUACCAGAUCGAUAGUGCACAAGUACCGUGAGGGAAAGGUGAAAAGAACUGAGGUGAUCAGAGUGAAAUAGAACCUGAAACCAUUUGCUUACAAUCAUUCAGAGCCCUAUGUAGCAAUACAGGGUGAUGGACUGCCUUUUGCAUAAUGAGCCUGCGAGUUGUGGUGUCUGGCAAGGUUAAGCAAACGCGAAGCCGUAGCGAAAGCGAGUCUGAAUAGGGCGCUUAGUCAGAUGCUGCAGACCCGAAACGAAGUGAUCUAUCCAUGAGCAAGUUGAAGCUAGUGUAAGAACUAGUGGAGGACUGAACCCAUAGGCGUUGAAAAGCCCCGGGAUGACUUGUGGAUAGGGGUGAAAGGCCAAUCAAACUUCGUGAUAGCUGGUUCUCUCCGAAAUAUAUUUAGGUAUAGCGUUGUGUCGUAAUAUAAGGGGGUAGAGCACUGAAUGGGCUAGGGCAUACACCAAUGUACCAAACCCUAUCAAACUCCGAAUACCUUAUAUGUAAUCACAGCAGUCAGGCGGCGAGUGAUAAAAUCCGUCGUCAAGAGGGAAACAACCCAGACUACCAGCUAAGGUCCCUAAAUCUUACUUAAGUGGAAAACGAUGUGAAGUUACUUAAACAACCAGGAGGUUGGCUUAGAAGCAGCCAUCCUUUAAAGAAAGCGUAAUAGCUCACUGGUCUAGUGAUUUUGCGCGGAAAAUAUAACGGGGCUAAAGUAAGUACCGAAGCUGUAGACUUAGUUUACUAAGUGGUAGGAGAGCGUUCUAUUUGCGUCGAAGGUAUACCGGUAAGGAGUGCUGGAGCGAAUAGAAGUGAGCAUGCAGGCAUGAGUAGCGAUAAUUAAUGUGAGAAUCAUUAACGCCGUAAACCCAAGGUUUCCUACGCGAUGCUCGUCAUCGUAGGGUUAGUCGGGUCCUAAGUCGAGUCCGAAAGGGGUAGACGAUGGCAAAUUGGUUAAUAUUCCAAUACCAACAUUAGUGUGCGAUGGAAGGACGCUUAGGGCUAAGGGGGCUAGCGGAUGGAAGUGCUAGUCUAAGGUCGUAGGAGGUUAUACAGGCAAAUCCGUAUAACAAUACUCCGAGAACUGAAAGGCUUUUUGAAGUCUUCGGAUGGAUAGAAGAACCCCUGAUGCCGUCGAGCCAAGAAAAGUUUCUAAGUUUAGCUAAUGUUUGCCCGUACCGUAAACCGACACAGGUGGGUGGGAUGAGUAUUCUAAGGCGCGUGGAAGAACUCUCUUUAAGGAACUCUGCAAAAUAGCACCGUAUCUUCGGUAUAAGGUGUGGUUCGCUUCGUAUUAGGAUUUACUCCGAAAGCGAAGAAACUUACAACAAAGAGUCCCUCCCGACUGUUUACCAAAAACACAGCACUCUGCUAACUCGUAAGAGGAUGUAUAGGGUGUGACGCCUGCCCGGUGCUCGAAGGUUAAUUGAUGGGGUUAGCAUUAGCGAAGCUCUUGAUCGAAGCCCGAGUAAACGGCGGCCGUAACUAUAACGGUCCUAAGGUAGCGAAAUUCCUUGUCGGUUAAAUACCGACCUGCAUGAAUGGCGUAACGAGAUGGGAGCUGUCUCAAAGAGGGAUCCAGUGAAAUUGUAGUGGAGGUGAAAAUUCCUCCUACCCGCGGCAAGACGGAAAGACCCCGUGGACCUUUACUACAGCUUGACACUGCUAUUUGGAUAAGAAUGUGCAGGAUAGGUGGGAGGCUUUGAGUAUAUGACGCCAGUUGUAUAUGAGCCAUUGUUGAGAUACCACUCUUUCUUAUUUGGGUAGCUAACCAGCUUGAGUUAUCCUCAAGUGGGACAAUGUCUGGUGGGUAGUUUGACUGGGGCGGUCGCCUCCCAAAUAAUAACGGAGGCUUACAAAGGUUGGCUCAGAACGGUUGGAAAUCGUUCGUAGAGUAUAAAGGUAUAAGCCAGCUUAACUGCAAGACAUACAAGUCAAGCAGAGACGAAAGUCGGUCUUAGUGAUCCGGUGGUUCUGUGUGGAAGGGCCAUCGCUCAAAGGAUAAAAGGUACCCCGGGGAUAACAGGCUGAUCUCCCCCAAGAGCUCACAUCGACGGGGAGGUUUGGCACCUCGAUGUCGGCUCAUCGCAUCCUGGGGCUGGAGCAGGUCCCAAGGGUAUGGCUGUUCGCCAUUUAAAGCGGUACGCGAGCUGGGUUCAGAACGUCGUGAGACAGUUCGGUCCCUAUCUGCCGUGGGCGUAAGAAGAUUGAAGAGAUUUGACCCUAGUACGAGAGGACCGGGUUGAACAAACCACUGGUGUAGCUGUUGUUCUGCCAAGAGCAUCGCAGCGUAGCUAAGUUUGGAAAGGAUAAACGCUGAAAGCAUCUAAGCGUGAAGCCAACUCUAAGAUGAAUCUUCUCUAAGCUCUCUAGAAGACUACUAGUUUGAUAGGCUGGGUGUGUAAUGGAUGAAAGUCCUUUAGCUGACCAGUACUAAUAGAGCGUUUGGCUUAUCUUUAAUAAAGCAU
rnacentral:rRNA from 1 species